ensembl:snoRNA
UCUGAGGUCUAUCCCGACGGGCCCUUCAUGUAGGGCCAAGUCGUUGGAAAUGCCUCAAAGACGAAAUCUGUGGUUUCGCUUUACCCAGGUGUUCUGCUGUGAGCAUUAUGGGAUACAACUGCAGGACAACA